UACGUAGGGCGCAAGCGUUGUCCGGAAUUAUUGGGCGUAAAGAGCUCGUAGGCGGUUUGUCGCGUCUGCUGUGAAAACCUAAGGCUCAACCUUGGGCUUGCAGUGGGUACGGGCAGACUAGAGUGCGGUAGGGGUGACUGGAAUUCCUGGUGUAGCGGUGGAAUGCGCAGAUAUCAGGAGGGAACACCGAGUGGCGAAGGCAGGUCACUGGGCCGCAACU
rnacentral:rRNA from 1 species